AACGAACGCUGGCGGCAGGCUUAACACAUGCAAGUCGAACGCCCCGCAAGGGGAGUGGCAGACGGGUGAGUAACGCGUGGGAACGUACCCUUUACUACGGAAUAGCUCCGGGAAACUGGAAUUAAUACCGUAUGUGCCCUUCGGGGGAAAGAUUUAUCGGUAAAGGAUCGGCCCGCGUUGGAUUAGCUAGUUGGUGGGGUAAAGGCCUACCAAGGCGACGAUCCAUAGCUGGUCUGAGAGGAUGAUCAGCCACAUUGGGACUGAGACACGGCCCAAACUCCUACGGGAGGCAGCAGUGGGGAAUAUUGGACAAUGGGCGCAAGCCUGAUCCAGCCAUGUCGCGUGAGUGAUGAAGGUCUUAGGAUUGUAAAGCUCUUUCACCGGGGAAGAUAAUGACGGUACCCGGAGAAGAAGCCCCGGCUAACUUCGUGCCAGCAGCCGCCGUAA
rnacentral:rRNA from 1 species